rnacentral:misc_RNA from 1 species
GAUGAAGAACGCAGCGAAAUGCGAUACUUGGUGUGAAUUGCAGAAUCCCGUGAACCAUCGAGUCUUUGAACGCAAGUUGCGCCUCAAGCCAUUAGGUUGAGGGCACGUCUGCCUGGGCGUCACAUAUCGUUGCCUGAUGCCAGUUUCCUCGUGAUGGGUGACUGUGCAGGGCGAAUGAUGGCUUCCCGUGAGCAUUGUUGCCUCAUGGUUGGUUGAAAAUUGAGUCCUUGGUAGGGAGCGCCGUGAUAGAUGGUGGUUGAGUGACGAACGAGACCCAAUCAUGUGAGACCCCUACCGAAUUUGGCCUUCAUGACCCACAUGCGUCUUUGGAACGCUCAUGACGAGACCUCAGGUCAGGCGGGGCUAUCCGCUGAGUUUAAGCAUAUCAAUAAGCGGAGGA